AUAUAUAAUAAGUAUUUCAAAAGUGGUUUGAAAUCAAGCCCAAAUUUACAUUUAACUUAACUGAAAGGUUAAAAAAAAGGCAUAAAAUACAUGGGAACCCUCAGAGUAACUGUCCCAAUCAGACUAUCUUCAUUUACUUGAGUGGAAUUGAGUUAUAACUCCUUAGAUGCCUUCUGUGCCUUCUUUCCCCCACAGGACGCUGCUGGCAGAUAACCCACCUCUGUGUAUCCACCAGAAAGGACAUGAGGACAGUCAUGUAGCUCUCUGCUCUAGAGGAAGCCAGUUCCUAUGCAGCUGCAGGGAAAUAAGAAAGGCAAGAAAUCCAUGGCCAACAAUCCAUGGGGACUUGAGUCUUCAAGCAGCCAUACAGAAGGGUACAACAUUCAAGUUUGAGAACACUGGCACAGGUGCACCCCUUCCCCCACCGCCUGGCCCCAACCCAGC